UGCCAGCAGCCGCGGUAAGACGAACCGUGCAAACGUUAUUCGGAAUCACUGGGCUUAAAGGGCGCGUAGGCGGGCAAUCAAGUCCGGGGUGAAAUCCUCCAGCUUAACUGGAGAAGUGCCUCGGAUACUGGUCGUCUCGAGGAGGGUAGGGGCAUCUGGAACUAGCGGUGGAGCGGUGAAAUGCGUUGAUAUCGCUAGGAACUCCGGUGGCGAAGGCGAGGUGCUGGACCCUUUCUGACGCUGAGGCGCGAAAGCCAGGGGAGCGAACGGGAUUAGAUA
rnacentral:rRNA from 1 species